CUGCCAAUCUUGCUGUUUACUUAAGCGGUUAUUUAUUUAUUUCUCCCGCUGCCGGUCUGAGCACUUCUUGAUAACUUCACCGCCUCUUCACCCGCUUAGAGGACCCCAUAAGGAGAGCCCCAGCCUUGAGGAGCAGGCAGGAAGGUGUGAGGAGGCCAACAGACGGAGGGGGAUGCCCUUGCUGAGGCUCAAGAGGUGGCCAGGCCUUACCACACAGGCCCAUGCAGGGAGGGCAGGCAGAGGGGCUGCAGGCCGGCGAGGGAGUCUAGGAGUCUGAACGCUCUGCCUCCUGGAGGAACUGCAAACAGCUGCGAGAAGACAGACCCCCAGGGAGCGGGUGCUGCUGGCCUGGAGCGGCUGGAGGCCUCCUUCAGGCCGUUCAGGGCAACUGGGGCCGGGCUGCUGAGCUUCCUGG